UACGUAGGGGGCAAGCGUUGUCCGGAUUUAUUGGGCGUAAAGAGCUCGUAGGCGGUUCGGCAAGUCGAAUGUGAAAUCUCCACGCUCAACGUGGAGGGGUCAUUCGAUACUGCCGUGACUUGAGUACGGGAGAGGGUCGCGGAAUUCCCGGUGUAGCGGUGAAAUGCGUAGAUAUUGGGAGGAACACCAGUGGCGAAGGCGGCUCACUGGACCGGUACUGACGCUGAUGCGCGAAAGCGUGGGGAGCAAACGGG
rnacentral:rRNA from 1 species